rfam:Cavia porcellus supercont2_13 genomic scaffold, whole genome shotgun sequence.
GGGGAUUUAGCUCAGCGGCAUAAGCGCCUGCCUUGCAAGCAGGCAGUUGUGAAUUCAAUCCCUG